rnacentral:rRNA from 1 species
GGGCCCGCACAAGCGGUGGAGUAUGUGGUUUAAUUCGAUGCAACGCGAAGAACCUUACCAGGGUUUGACAUCCUGCGAAUCUCUUGGAAACUUGAGAGUGCCUUCGGGAGCGCAGUGACAGGUGGUGCAUGGCUGUCGUCAGCUCGUGUCGUGAGAUGUUGGGUUAAGUCCCGCAACGAGCGCAACCCUCGUCCUAUGUUGCCAGCACGUAAUGGUGGGGACUCGUAGGAGACUGCCGGGGUCAACUCGGAGGAAGGUGGGGACGACGUCAAGUCAUCAUGCCCCUUAUAUCCAGGGCUGCAAACAUGCUACAAUGGCCGGUACAAAGGGCUGCGAGACCGCGAGGUUAAGCGAAUCCCACAAAGCCGGUCUCAGUUCGGAUUGGAGUCUGCAACUCGACUCCAUGAAGCUGGAGUC